rnacentral:rRNA from 1 species
UACGUAGGUGGCAAGCGAUACUCGGAAUCACUGGGCGUAAAGCGCAGGUAGGAGGUUUAGAAAGUCUCUUGUGAAAGCUCCCGGCUUAACUGGGAGAGGUCAAGGGAAACUACUAGGCUAGAGUGCGGUAGAGGUAGCUGGAAUUCCCGGUGUAGCGGUGAAAUGCGUAGAUAUCGGGAGGAAUACCUAUGGCGAAAGCAGGCUACUGGACAGUAACUGACUCUGAGCUGCGAAAGCUAGGGGAGCAAACAGG